AUGAAGAACGUAGCGAAAUGCGAUAAGUAAUGUGAAUUGCAGAAUUCAGUGAAUCAUCGAAUCUUUGAACGCACAUUGCGCCCGCCAGUAUGCUGGCGGGCAUGCCUGUUCGAGCGUCAUUUCAACCAUCAAGCCCCCGGGCUUGUGUUGGGGACCUGCGGCUGCCGCAGGCCCUGAAAAGCAGUGGCGGGCUCGCUGUCACACCGAGCGUAGUAGAUUUUAUCUCGCUCUGGGCGUGCUGCGGGUUCCGGCCGUUAAACCACCCUUUUAACCCAAGGUUGACCUCGGAUCAGGUAGGAAGACCCGCUGAACUUAAGCAUAUCAAUAAGCGGAGGA
rnacentral:misc_RNA from 1 species